GGAGUUGGAAGUCAUCAUCAAAGUUUGGAUGUCUUUAAACAAUUGGUUAAUUGAGUUUAGGGCUUGACACAUCCUAACCAUAACCAUAUCCUUGUCACGCUUUUCGGAUCCAUUAUGCUGAGGUAUUCGAGGUGAUGGCCCUAUUCUUCGGGCUCGGCAUGAGGUUGAUUAAUUAUGGAAUUUCACGCAACAGAAACCCACCAAAAACUCCAGAAAACACAAAAAAAAGAAGUUAAAUAAAGCCGCUGGAAAAGAAAGCGUUGAGCGGGAGAACCAGAAAAC
rnacentral:sRNA from 1 species